rnacentral:lncRNA from 1 species
CUGGACAGCUGAUCUUAGGAGUUGAGAGAAGUUGCUGAUGCAGAAGCCGUUGGUUGUGGGCAUCCUUACAUGCAGGCCGCUCCAACCCAGUCUUGGAGAAUUUCCUACUGCCCCCUGUGACUUCACUCUUUCACGGUUUCUAAAACCUUCCCUCUCUGCCCUCAGGAGUCCUCCGUGCUCAAGUCCACUCUUUCUUUCUUCAGAGCUUAUUUUCUGUCAGAGUGGACUCACCAGCCAUAUCCUGUCAAGGAAAAUGGCCUCUGACAUGUGCUGGGCUUCACCAGAGACUGGGGAAUCUAGAAGGUCUGUGGUGCUCACCUAUGAACUGAGGGAGAUGAUGACAUUUCUGAAGAGAGGCCAGCGCUUGGCUGGUUUCAUCCCAGAGAAGCCUCCCCCCACCAAAACAAACAAACAAACAAACAAAAAAAAAAAG